rnacentral:rRNA from 1 species
GAUGAACGCUGGCGGCGUGCUUAACACAUGCAAGUCGAACGAUGAAAGCGGGAGCUUGCUCCUGCUGGAUUAGUGGCGAACGGGUGAGUAACACGUGAGCAAUCUGCCCCGAACUCUGGGAUAAGCGUUGGAAACGACGUCUAAUACCGGAUACGACGCGCGAAGGCAUCUUCUGCGCGUGGAAAGAAUUUCGGUUCGGGAUGAGCUCGCGGCCUAUCAGCUAGUUGGUGAGGUAACGGCUCACCAAGGCGACGACGGGUAGCCGGCCUGGGGGGGUGCCCGGCCACAGUGGGACUGAGACACGCCCCAGAGUCCUACGGGAGGCAGGGGUGGGGAAUAUUGCCCAAUGGGCGCAAGCCUGAUGCAGCUACGCCGCGUGAGGGACGACGGCCUUCGGGUUGUAAACCUCCUUUAGCAGGGAAGAAGCGAAAGUGACGGUACCUGCAGAAAAAGCACCGGCUAACUACGUGCCAGCCGCCGCCGUAAAAC